ACACAUUUGUGCUUGUAUCGUUUGAGAAAUGGGUUUUGAAACCUUAGUGGCCGUCUUGGCCAUUUCUCUCUCCUCUUUGCCAAUAACGACAAAGACGCAGUGUACUUGUGCUUUUCUCAGUGUUGUCAAGCUAUUUUGUCCAAGAGCAAUUAAUGCUCUUGCCCACUUUCCUCCAAUUCAUCUGUAGUCAACUGAUUGAAGAGAAUCACACGGGCCACUUGGGCAAAUCCGCAUGAAACCACUGUUGGGCUUAAGGCCCAAGAACACCUUUAUUCCAUCAAGUUCGGACUGAAAAUGCAUGGAAGGCCCAACCAUGGGUGAAAAUGGUAACUAGUGGGCUUCGGUAGGCCCACUAGUAUAACUUUUCGUCUUUCAUUUUCUUUAAAUUGUAUGUAUAUGUAUUGUAAAGAAUGCUAUGUAAAUAUUGGAACCCUAUGGUUAGAAUCGGAGAGAUCGCGUAGAAGUUUAGGAUUUUUGCCAAAUGAUUUUCAAACUUGACUUAAUAAAAGAUUUUAAACUAUGCAUGUAAUCGGUAAAUGAAUUUUGGGCCAAGUGAUUUUAAAAGAACUGGAAAAAGAUAUACAUAUGUAUACCCGUGAUACGAUCUAUAUAUAUUUGAAUUUGGUAAUCCCUUUUGAAAACAAAAAAUGGAAAUACUUGAUAUACUAGUUAUAUAUAUACAUGGCUAUUAAAGAAAAACUGUUUAUGGGCUUAAGACGAAAAUUUGUAAACUGAUUUGGACACGAGAAAUGGAAACUGAUUUUCACAGUAGUUAUAAAUGGAUUUUCAGAACUUUUUGGGACAUUUAAGGUUAUUACAAUUUUUUGGGCCCAAAGCCCAACCUUAAGCUAAAAAACAGGAGGGAAUACAUUUUAGCCUCAGCUUGAGAUAAAGGUUUGAAAGUAGUGUAUAGUUAGUUGACUUUUAAAAUUGCACAAAGAUAUAAAGAAGUUGCUGAAAAAAAUACACUUGUAUAAACCUAUGGCAUAUGUAUAAAGUUAUUGUACUCAAUUUUUCUCAAAAACCUAUAAAUGAUUAAAUUGGACAUAGUACUUGGGAUUAAAUUAAGUUGAACUUUACCCAAGGGAAACUUUUAGUAUGUUUUUAGUUCGGAAAGUAAUAUGACUGUUUUAAACUUUAUAACAUUUUCAAGAGAUAAACAUUUUUCCUUCAAACGAAUGGAUUUUUGCGAAACAAAAGGAAUUAUGAUGUGCCAUGACAGUUCUAUAUAAGAAAGUAAACUCUUUAAGCAAGCAAUUAUAAUAAUCACACAUUGAAACUCGAAGGUCAAUCGUAUUCUACGAAUCCUUAAUAUUAGGGUACUUAAAACCUUUCCUAGGGGAUCACCAAAACACUUACCUCAAACUCUGGUUUUAAAUGAAUUUUUCUCUUGUUUGAUAAACCCUUUUAAUUAGGGUUUCCUAAUUUUUCUUAAUAAAUUAGGUGGCGACUCUAAAAAAUGAAAAUCCAAAUAGAGUCCACAACCUCUUAGUAGCUUUUAUACACCCAUGUAAAAGUGGACUGUAAUAGGUAUCCUUAUAUUCGUAUACUAACGUAGCUUACUUAUUUGAUAGACUUCGAUCGUUCAGAGGCUCUCCGCGAGGGGAAGGAAUUGGCUUGAUUACUCGUGAGUCCCGCUCAACUUUCAAGAGUUUGAUCCAAGAUCCAGUUCGCGACCUCGAGACUGAUCCGAGGCUUUAACAGGAGAUUUUAGGGUGAGCCACUAGCUGGACAUACAGCCAUAGAUCUCUUCUUCUGAUUAUCUGUCUAUUUCUGAUUCCAUAGAAAGUUUUCUAUUUUCAUAUUUGAGACUUGUAUCCAGUAUUUCAGAUGUUGUAUUAAGUAUUAGAACC